UUGAAAAAUUAAUUUUGAACGAAAAUUUUUAGUUUCAUGAAUGAAACAAGCUCUAAACAACCUACGGCUUCGUUUGAGAUUGUGGAGAGAUUGCGUUACGUGUGGUGGAAAAAUACGUUGAAAAAAUAUCUUGUUUGUUUCCGUAUAUAAUAUUGCGUUCCGUAUAUUGCGAUGAGUCGGUUACGAUAUAUUUUCUAUGGUCCCAUCGGAGAACGCAGAAAUAUAUCCCUAUAUGCUUUUUCCUUAACUCCAUUUUAUCUAAUAACGUUAGAUAGACUUCAAUAUCAAACCAAGUCUUAAACGAUUUUCAAUACCAAACAGGCCCUAAAUUUUCAUAUUAUUAUUUUUUAAACUUUUUUCUAACUUUAUUAUUUGUAAAAAUCUCAAACUAUUUUAAAUUAUUAUAAUUUUAAACAUGAACUUUAAGACUAAUCU
rnacentral:lncRNA from 1 species